UUUUUACAAUUAAAAUUUACAUAUAGCACUAAAACAAUAAUACCAUUGUUCAAAUUUCAAGUGUGAAUAAAAUAUUAAACAAUUUGAAAAGGACUUAAUUCACACUUAAAGUUUUUAGGUCACGUAUCAUUUUUACUCAACCCAGGAUAAAAGGGGGGCCAACUAUAUGUCUCAUUCAAAUGCAUUGAUCAUCACAUAUAAAAGGGGUGUUCUAAGAACUUCCAACCCCAGAACCUACCCCCUGGAUUUGCCACUGAUGUUAAAACCAAAUGGAAUGAGCAUGACAUCAAUGAACAUAUUGUUUAUAGAAUAUAUUACAAUAACCCUUUCCCAAGAAAAGUUAAACCUCAAAAUUAACAACACUG
rnacentral:lncRNA from 1 species